GACGAACGCUGGCGGCGUGCUUAACACAUGCAAGUCGAACGGAAAGGCCCUGCUUGCCGGGUACUCGAGUGGCGAACGGGUGAGUAACACGUGGGUGAUCUGCCCUGCACUUCGGGAUAAGCUUGGGAAACUGGGUCUAAUACCGGAUAGGAACCAUCUUUAGUGUGGUGGUUGGAAAGUUUUUUCGGUGUAGGAUGAGCUCGCGGCCUAUCAGCUUGUUGGUGGGGUAAUGGCCUACCAAGGCGGCGACGGGUAGCCGGCCUGAGAGGGUGUACGGCCACAUUGGGACUGAGAUACGGCCCAGACUCCUACGGGAGGCAGCAGUGGGGAAUAUUGCACAAUGGGCGCAAGCCUGAUGCAGCGACGCCGCGUGGGGGAUGAAGGCCUUCGGGUUGGAAACUCCUUUCGCUAGGGACGAAGCUUUUUGUGACGGUACCUAGAUAAGAAGCACCGGCUAACUACGUG
rnacentral:rRNA from 1 species